rnacentral:rRNA from 1 species
UACGUAGGGUGCGAGCGUUGUCCGGAUUUAUUGGGCGUAAAGAGCGUGUAGGCGGUUCGGUAGGUCCGUUGUGAAAACUCGAGCUCAACCUCGAGACGCCGAUGGAAACCCUCGAACUAGAGUCCGGAAGAGGAGAGUGGAAUUCCUGGUGUAGCGGUGAAAUGCGCAGAUAUCAGGAAGAACACCCGUGGCUAAGGCGGCUCUCUAGUACGGUACUGACGCUGAGACGCGAAAGCGUGGGGGAGCGAACAGG